rnacentral:rRNA from 1 species
CGUAAAAAGUUCUAAAAGCAUAAAGGUUUGGUCCUAGCCUUAUUAUCAAUUAUCUCCCAACUUACACAUGCAAGUCUCAGCACCCCCGUGAGGAAGCCCUUAAACCCUUCUCCAGGGUAAGGAGCCGGUAUCAGGCACUACUUUUGCCCAUAACACCUAGUUUCCACCACACCCCCAAGGGUCAUCAGCAGUGAUAAACAUUAUCUAUAAGCGAUAGCUUGACUUAAUUAGAGAGAAGAUAGUUGGCUAAUUCGGUGCCAGCCGCCGCGGUUAGACCCCUGAACUAAAAUUGAUAAUCAUCGGCGUUAAGCGUGAUUAAAGCAAUAUAAAAUUAGAGUAAAACUCCCUGCCCAGCCGUGAAAAGCAUGCACUCCGGAACUCCAUGAACGAAAGUCACUCUACUCAAUGCUUGAAUACACGACAGCUAUGAAUACAAACUACGAUUU